UACGGAGGAUCCAAGCGUUAUCCGGAAUCAUUGGGUUUAAAGGGUCCGUAGGCGGUUUGGUAAGUCAGUGGUGAAAGCCCAUCGCUCAACGGUGGAACGGCCAUUGAUACUGCCAGACUUGAAUUAUUAGGAAGUAACUAGAAUAUGUAGUGUAGCGGUGAAAUGCUUAGAGAUUACAUGGAAUACCAAUUGCGAAGGCAGGUUACUACUAAUGGAUUGACGCUGAUGGACGAAAGCGUGGGUAGCGAACAGGAUUAGAACUACCGUAGUCAG
rnacentral:rRNA from 1 species